rnacentral:piRNA from 1 species
UAUUUGAUUUGCAUUUUUUUU